GCUUAACACAUGCAAGUCGAGGGGCAGCGGUGGUGAAGGCUUGCCUUUACCAGCCGGCGACCGGCGCACGGGUGAGUAACACGUAUGCAACCUGCCUGCCACAGCCGGAUAAUCGGGAGAAAUUCCGUCUAAUACGGCAUAAUGCAUCGACGGGACAUCCUGUUGGUGCCAAAGGUUGAUUCCGGUGGCGGAUGGGCAUGCGUCGCAUUAGUUAGUUGGCGGUGUAACGGACCACCAAGACGACGAUGCGUAGGGGUUCUGAGAGGAAGGUCCCCCACACUGGUACUGAGACACGGACCAGACUCCUACGGGAGGCAGCAGUGAGGAAUAUUGGUCAAUGGGCGGGAGCCUGAACCAGCCAAGUCGCGUGAGGGAUGACGGUCCUAUGGGUUGUAAACCUCUUUUGCCGGGGAGCAAAGUGCCGCACGUGUGCGGUUUGGAGAGUACCCGGAGAAAAAGCAUCGGCUAACUCCGUGCCAGCAGCCGCGGUAAUACGGAGGAUGCGAGCGUUAUCCGGAUUUAUUGGGUUUAAAGGGUGCGUAGGCGGACGCUUAAGUCAGCGGUAAAAUUGCGGGGCUCAACCUCGUCGAGCCGUUGAAACUGGGUGCCUUGAGUGGGCGAGAAGUACGCGGAAUGCGUGGUGUAGCGGUGAAAUGCAUAGAUAUCACGCAGAACUCCGAUUGCGAAGGCAGCGUACCGGCGCCCUACUGACGCUGAAGCACGAAGGCGUGGGUAUCGAACAGGAUUAGAUACCCUGGUAGUCCACGCAGUAAACGAUGAAUGCUAGUUGUCCGGGGCGAUUGAGUUCUGGGUGACACAGCGAAAGCGUAAGCAUUCCACCUGGGGAGUACGCCGGCAACGGUGAAACUCAAAGGAAUUGACGGGGGCCCGCACAAGCGGAGGAACAUGUGGUUUAAUUCGAUGAUACGCGAGGAACCUUACCCGGGCUCAAACGCAGGAGGGAUGUUUUUGAAAGGAGGCAGCCAGCAAUGGUCUCCUGCGAGGUGCUGCAUGGUUGUCGUCAGCUCGUGCCGUGAGGUGUCGGCUUAAGUGCCAUAACGAGCGCAACCCCUACCUACAGUUGCCAUCGCGUGAUGGCGGGCACUCUGUGGGGACUGCCUGCGCAAGCAGUGAGGAAGGCGGGGAUGACGUCAAAUCAGCACGGCCCUUACGUCCGGGGCGACACACGUGUUACAAUGGCAGGUACAGCGGGAAGCCACCCGGCGACGGGGCGCGGAACCCGAAAACCUGUCUCAGUUCGGAUUGGAGUCUGCAACCCGACUCCAUGAAGCUGGAUUCGCUAGUAAUCGCGCAUCAGCCACGGCGCGGUGAAUACGUUCCCGGGCCUUGUACACACCGCCCGUCAAGCCAUGGAAGCCGGGGGUGCCUGAAGU
rnacentral:rRNA from 1 species